rnacentral:lncRNA from 1 species
AUGGUGCGGGCGGGCUGCCUCUUCUGCUUUCUCCUUCCCCAGAGGUGUCAGCCCCGCCCGCUGCUCUCUCGGUUCCUGUCAACGACGUGCCCCACUAGAACCCCUGUCCCUGUAGAACGGUCAUCCGGAAGCGCUGCCGCUCCCGGCCCAAGAUGGCGGCCUCCACCCUGUGCGCCGCCAUCUUACUUGUCUGAUGAGCAAAAACAAUCCUUUGAUUGGGCCUUGGCACGGCUUCAGGGUCCUUGGCCUCUGGGCUGCCCAGCCUUCUCCUCCAAAGCCCAGCCCAGCCCAGCUGAGAGCUCCAAAAAGUUUUGGAGUGGAAGACCUGCAGCUUCGGGGUGCUGGGGCCUGCUGAUCGGGGAGGGGAGGCUGGUCGGCAGCCGAGUCAGACAGCUAGCGGUGCCUAAGGUCCUUUUGUCUUGCCGGCCUCCACCGUCCCUGCCUCCCACUGUGGAUGCCGUCUCCCCAGGCCUUAGGGCCCAGCGGGCCGAGAAGGCUGCGAGCCUGGGGUUGAGGAUGGCGGGAUGGGGGCUGCCUGUCUCUGGGUGUGGCCCCGGGGGCUGGCUGCUCCCUGGCCUGUGGCUGCUGGCACUGAGUGGUCCGCCCAGUAAUAGCCUUCUUGCCGCGGAGCCUUUGAUCUCUGCUUUGUCCUGGACAAAUCCGCAAUAUGAAAGAUUUUGAAAUUUCCGCCCUUAUUACUGUCAUCGUUUCCAUGGUGGCAGCUAUUUCCGCCACAACAAUGGCAACAGUCACCUCACAAUCAAGUGGGGACAGCAGCAAUGGUCAACCAGCGAACAAAAAACAUCACCCAAGCCUUCAGAAAGACCGCCCUGCUAGUUCAAGAUGUCUGCGCAGCCAUACUCAAUUUACAAAUCCAAUUAAACUUGGUUUGGGAGGAAUUAAUACCCAGGUGUUAGAUGUUGUAACUUUAAAUAAUGUGUGGGCUACCAUUUGGUCAAAAAUUCAGGCUGGAUGGAAUACUUUGAGUAGUUGGAUACGUGGAUUGAUACUGGGAUGCCCAUAUAUAUUAACCUUGUUUGGCGUAUUGUUAUUCUUUAUUUUAAAUAUCAGACAUGCCAGUAACGAAAUCAUAAAAAUGUGGUCCUUUUGGCUGAGGCUCUGGAGUCAAAAGGGGGAACUGAGGAUCAGGUUAAUGUCUGGCUGAGUCAGGAGCGCUGCACCCAUCUCUGGUGAGAAAAAUCCAAGGACUGUUAGGGCUGGAAUAAUCCGCUCCCUUGGGUGUGUAGAGAUUUGACCCUAGACAGAUAAACUGUUCCUUUCAAAAACCUCUAAAGUCCUGACUUACUCGCCUCAGCCCCUAAAGCAUACAAUCCAAAAACUAACACGUGGCUAAUAACAGUGUGCCAAAUAUCCCGACUCCACCCUGGCUCCACCCCUACCUUACCCUACCCAAUAGCAAUCCAAUAGCGCCACCCUGGCUCCACCCCCGCUUUAAUCUAUAUAAGCCUGUGCAUUUCCUCAAUAAAACGGAAGCGUUCAAGAAACCUACCCGGAGUCUGCGUGGUGAUUCUGUGCUUUGCCCCCAAACCCAGUCUAGGUCCCUGGGGUCAAAAGCAAGAGUUCUCACUGUGGUUACACCCAGCCCCCUUUGCAUUCCUGUGCUGAUAUCUAUGCUCAGGCAAGGACUGACUUGCUACAUUAGUAUCUGUGCAACUCUGCUCUAGAGAUUUGCCUCUGCAUGUGUCUGUUGUGCACUAUUUUUGCUGAAGCUUGUGUGCUCCAUGGUGGUGAUGGUGGUGUAGGAUUUAGUCUUCCUCAGCCUGGGGCUGAGCUUAAUUCUGCCCUUCUUGGCUGUGUGGUCUCAGCAUUCUGCCCACCAUCCUCCGGGAGCUGUGUUUCCUGUUCUCUUCCCUCCUCAGUGCCAGUUGCACACACCUCCUUCCUCCUCCUGGGGUUUGUUCCAUAUGAGAUGAUGAGGUAAAGGGCCAAGGGAAGUUUCCCCUCCUGCAGAGUGCUUUUCUGUCCCUGGGUCUGCACCCCAACCAGCAUCUUCUCUCAUCAAAUACUAGCACUUGGUAUGAUUUAUGCGAAGGAGUCCUGCAAGAGGGCAUGGAUGCCCUGACUUCUACAGCUCUCCUGGCUGCUGCACAGGCCUGCCAACUGGUCCUGGGCCUCGUCAGGUUCUUCUUCUUGGUGUCCAGUGGCACCUGGUGAGUGAGUGUGUGGUCUGCUCUCUCCUGUUGAGUAUUGGUCUCUCACCAGACUGGUUGCCUUGUAAACUCAAUUUUCUGAUAGAUCAUAAAGAACCACGCAUUUGAUGUUAUUCCACAAAUUUUUUGGUUUUUAAAAAAAUUUUAUUUAUUUUUUUGGUUUUUGAGACAGGGUCUCACUAUGUAGUUGAGACUGACCUGAAACUCACUGUGUAGACCAGGCUGUUCUGAAACUCACAGCGAUCCUCCUGCCUCAGCCUCCCAAGUGCUGGGAUUACAGGCGAGUGCCACCAUGCCUGGCAUUUUGUUUGUUUUAAAAGUGGUAGUGAUGUUCUUUCCUGCUUUCUACAUCUUGGAGAGGAUACCAGAAGUCCUUAAUGAAAUAUUUUGCAUUUUGAAAAAAAUAAUCAAGUUGUCAAAAUCAAUUUUUUAACUUUCAGCAAAUUUCAGUUUGGAUUAGCCCUGUUUCAGCAGCCACCUGGG